rnacentral:tRNA from 1 species
GGCAGUUUAGCUUAAUAGUAAAGCACUCAGCUGGAGUCUUUGAGGGAUAUGGGUUCAUGUCCCGUGACUGGUU